GCUUUUGGGUUCCGGGGGAAG
rnacentral:rRNA from 1 species